AGCAGUGUGGCUUAGUGGCAAGAGCCUGGCCUUGGGAGUCAGAGGUCGGGGGUUCUAAUCCUAGCUCUGCCA
rnacentral:tRNA from 1 species